GGCUCCUUCCUGCAGAGGCUCCCCGAUGGGGGAGGGCGGCUCGCUUGCCCUCACUCUGGGACUCACUUAGGUAUCGGGCUGCUGGGACAAGCGGAAGCUGGUGUGCGAGUUUGGAGAGGGAAGGGGUUGAGCUAUGAGGAUGAAAUAAAAGAGAGGAUGGAGGAGACAAUAUCCUGUUUUAUUUGCGAUAUUCUCUACUUAAGAUUAUGUAAUAUUUCAUGAUGCAAUGCAGCAGCAGGUGACAGCUCUGCCUUUUGGGAGCCUCGCUUUCUGCUGCCUCUAGCCCUGCAAUCGCCUCUGCAGACUCGCCCGCUGGCCGCGCCUGCUGCCGCCUUCCAGCUCUUCCCUCUCGGGAUGGCUGAGGUCAAAGCUUGCUCUGCCCUCCACGUGCAAAAAUUAAAAACCGAGGCUAAAACAAGACAAAAUAAAACCUAGACAUAUUCUAGAGAAUGUUUUUAUUUGAUUGCUUCUUGAAAUUUCAUUUCCCUAAAAUGUGUUCUUACAAUAAUAUUUUGCUUAAAUAUUUGGGCCAAGGAAGACUUUUAAAAAUGAUCACCUUUGCAGCUUUCUCACUUGGAAGUUGGCUAGUACUCAACCCUCUGAUGAAUGGAAGAGUAACAACUUGCUUUUCUCUCUGCUGAGGAGUGGACCCAUGGAGACAGGCAGCUUCGAGGGAGUCUCUCUUUCUAAGGCUCAGGUAUGUGGUACGGGUUGAAAUUCUGCAAUGUGUGACUGAGCUCCCACCUACAGACUGGACAACGUUUUGUCCCUGCCCUAAUCUUGUCUUUGUGGAGGUGUUGGAGGGAAGAAGGGCCAGGGACAUUUCCAGCCCCGUGGCAAGUUCCUGUCUGCACAGUUUCGGCUGUUUAAUUUUCAGAUUAUUUAAUGACAGAUUAUUUUUAGGGUAAACAUAGGAGUAAGCCCUCUAUCUCUUAGUUUAAGGACUCUUCUCUCUCAGAGGGGUAGGCAGGUGCUUCUGGACCUCUGCAGGCAUGGAGUUGUUCGGGCAGGGCCUCCCGUAGCUGCCGACGAGAGGUCGGGAGAGGGCUCUGGCUGACAGAAGGUGGCCUGCGGGGCGCUAAUGCUGCGUGCGCCUCCACUCGUAUGGCCACGCGGGACGCGCUCAGUGACCGCGUGUGCUGUGGCAGAGGUUAGGGCAUGCUGAGCAUGUUGUCUGUGCUACUGUCUCUGCCUGCUGCCUGUACAGGCGACACAUACCAUGUCCACCUUACCUGCCCCCACACAGCCUGCUCCCGGCUCAGUGGCAGUCAGUAAAUAUGUGCCGAAUGAAUGCAUAAAUGAAUGAAUGCCAGGGACAUAUUUCUGCUUUGAGAAGUUGGGGAGUAAUUUACAGCAAAAAUAACAAGGAAAGACUUCCCUGGAGGGAUAGUAAUUCAAAUAAUAAUCUUUCCAUCCCCUCCGCCUCCCCUCCUAGGAGGCUUUGCCGCUUAAACAUAUUUACUAUUAUCAGUUAUUAUUAUCAAAUAUUAGCACUAUACUACUGCUAGCAACAGAAGUUUGCAGCAGGGAUACUAUUUUUAGACAUAUUGUCAUGUACUCCUCCCUCUGGGUCCUCCAGGAAAAGAGAAGAAACUUACUCAACAACAAAGAUUUCUCGUUUUUGAAAUUCAAAUCCAAAUUUUUGGGCAACCUAAUAAGUUGGAAAGCAAAGCUUUGCAGAGAGAGAGAGACAGACAGUGAGAGAGCGAGAGGGCGCACACACCUUCGCUAUUCCUCAGCGUGCCGGGCAUGGAGGAUUCAGAGCCCGUGUCUCUCCCACAAGCAUAAAGAGUUGCCACCACCGCGUUCCUGCUCCAAGGAACACGAGGGAGUUAAGAGGAAAGAAGCCCAAAGGCCCACCCUUGCUAGCACAGAGGUCUGUGGGGAGAAGGGAGGGAUGUCAGGGUCAUGGGUGUCAGUUCUUUCUAAGCGCUUAGGUCCUCCCUCGGGUGGGUGCUUCAGAGAUGCUCGGAUUGGCACAGGACCCGGGCCAGUGCACAGACACUUGAAGAACAACGAAUCAUGGCUUUUCAGGCCACAAACGGUUGGGGUGGUUUGUUAGGCAGCAAUAGCUAACUGUUAUGGCUGAUAAUCCCCUUUCGUUGCUAAAUCUAAAGGAUCGUCUUCCUGGUGGCAGAGAUGGAUAAAGGCUAAUCAGAGAUGUUUCCCCUCUCACCACAGGCACACGUGUGAUGAGUUCUGGCUAUCUGGAUGUGGGCAGAAGGGUUGUGCCACUUUCAGGGCUAGCCCAUAAACUCCUCUGCCUCCCGAGCCUUUCUGCUGGGUGGGGAGGGCUGGCAGAGGCAGGGCCACAGGAUGGAAGACUGCCACUCACCAGGAGCACCUGCAGCGGACUUUGUGUGAGUGGGAAACAAGCUUUUGCUGUGUCAAGUCACAGAGCCUUUGAGGUUCAUGACAGCCGUGAGAGUCACUUACUGUCACCGUCUGCCUCCUUCUCCUGCUUGGCCUCCCAUGGCUGCCGUGGGCAGUGCUGAUGCCUUUACGGCUCCUCCUCCCUGGGUUUCCUUGGCACCACACUCUGUGGUCUUCCUCCAGGGAAGUGGCUCUCCAGCGCCGUGCACACGAAGCCCAGCAUUCUGAGCUAAAGCUGCUGUCCUGCUCCUGCUCCUCUCCCUUGCCGCCGAGCCCUCAAAGCCCGUGUGUCUCCACAGACACACCAGCCUCCCAUUCACUUAGGGUUUCCUUCUGCUGCUUUCUCUGCUUGAGAUACUCUCCCCACUUUUUGCCCUCCUGACUUUCGCAGGGCUGACCUAUCACUAGUUCCAAGAACACUGGGCUCUGCAGUGGGGGGCUGCUCCCAUGGGCUCCGACAGAAUCCCACUUGCCAGGAUUGUGGGCCUUACUGUUGUAGCACUUCUCCAUCUCUUUCACCAGCUCACUCCGGGCUCGAGCACUCGCAACCUGUUGUGCUCACUACCGCGUCCCAAAUGCAUAAACAAGUGCUUGCCACUUGGCCGUGCUGACCACCGCUCGGCAAAGCAUCAGCUGAUGAGCCUGCAGGGCUGGGAAGCAGCAGUGCACGGAGUCUAGAAUCCAGACUGUGUUCGACAACAGGUGAUGAAUGAAGAAGUCAACCAGAAAAAAAUGCUGCUGCUUACUUAGUCUUCCUUAGAGAUUAUCUGUACUUGGUCCUUUUGAUGAUGACUAGACUGUUUGCAAUUAUAGGUACGGAACAGCCUUCUUUCAAAUGGUGUUUCCUUCAAUUAUCAUUAGUGAUAAAAAUUGGGCAGGAUUUAUUUCACAUAUUACAAUGCAGAAUUUGAUGUUGUUUUUAUGUGAACAUAACUGCUCUGUAAAACCUCAAGCAUUUUUCUCUAUUAGAAUUGGCAGAUGGGAGGUUAUAGAAACUUGUGGCCAAUUGAGAAGUUCUCAAACCAUUGCUGUCGACACGGAGGGAGCAAAGGGCAGAGCGUGGUGUGUGUGAGUCACUUCUUUGGGAUGGCCAUACCCCUGGCUGCAUCUGUUCCUGGCUAUGGUGCUGCUUUCUACCACCGGACACUCGGCACCGGAAGACAAGGUGUGCUGCCCGAGGCCACACGGCAACGGGUUGGAUGCCACACGUGGAAGCAGGUAUACGUGUGUUCCCCAGGGGCUGACAUCCUGUUUCCAGCACAUAGAAUGAGUCACAGAAAGCCUCUGCUGAGUCAUAAUGACACACCCAGAAGCCGAUGACACGCACCUAGGAGGUCGCAUACAGACAAGAAUUCCUGAGGGCUGCCCUCAGCCCAUGUUCACUGGGGAACACUGUGGAAGGGGAAGUGGCCGUGACAUUUGCUUUGGUUGCCACACUGGCAUUAUUUGAGCCUGUCCUGCCUGUGAGCUUCUGACUCUGACUUCUGACCUCAGGAGAAGCACACAUGGGACCAAGGAAGGGGCCCAGGCAUCCUGCGUGUGCCUUACCAGGCUGGCGACAAUGACAGCAGCUGAAAUCUCACGGAAUGCUUAGUAUGUUUCGAACUUGUCACCUCAGUGACCUCGGUGAGCCCUCCGGUGGCCCACGAGGGCCGCCACUGCCAGCCUCCUGCAGCUGGACCCGGGCUGUGUGGCCCCGUCCUCUAGGGGGCCUGUCUGGGCCGGCGCUGCCCACUGCAUGAAGCGUCCAUCCUGGGGGGCUUUUCUGUGGCAGGGGCUCCAUUUCACAGGCCUCCAGGGGUCCUGCCCUUGGAAGAAGUCUUCUCUAAUGUUCCUUUUCCUGGUCUAUUCCCCAGAUGCCCUCUUCCACUUCCAGAAUGCUUAGGCUUCUGUAUAAGAACAAUUUCUUAGAGCCCAAAGUGAGGUCAGGUGCAUCGGAGUAUGCAAGGAAGGACAGUGAAAUGAAAAUGUUGGGAAUAAAUGAAACAUCCUUAUAACUGCAA